AUGCUCACCGACGCCAACUACGGCGUGUGGGCGGUGAAGAUGAAGAUCAUUCACGUCGACAAGGAGUGCGACAAAGGUGCCAUGGACGCCAUAGCCCAGUCUGUGCCGGAUUCUGUGCUGAUGACAUUGGCGGAGUUCGAGACAGCAAGAGAGGCGUGGAAUGCACUCAAAGAGAUGAGGAUCAGAGAAGAUUGCGUCACCAAGGCUCGGGCACAAGUGCUGAAGCACCAAUUUCACAAGUUGCAGAUGGAGGAAACUGAAUCGGUGAACGACUAUGCCAUGCGUCUGACUACUUUGGUGGGAGAGAUCCGCGCGCUUGGUGCAAAGCUCGAGGAGACUGAGAUUGUAGAGAAGUUUUUCAGUUCGGUCACUGAUAAAUUCACGUACAUCAUCGGCACGCUCGAGCAGCUUUACAACAUCGACGACAUGACCAUAAUGGAGGCGAUCGGACGCUUGCGGACAUGGGAAGAGAAUGCCCGUGGUUGUCGGAAAGGCAAAGGAGGAGGUGGUGACCAACUCAUGUACUCGCGCGCAGAUUGGGAGUCCCCAAGUAGCAAAGGAAGGCGCAACGUUGGCAAAGGCUCAAACAACGCGAAGAGCGGCGGACAAACCGGAAAAGGCAAAGCAAAAGGCAAGCCACAAGGUCGUGGUAAGGCGGACCGAUCUAAAGAGCGGAAGCCACGGAACUUGGAUAUAUCCGAGGUCAAGUGCUAUAACUGCAAUGAGAUGAGUCACUUUGCGAAGAAUUGUCCGGAGCCUAACAAGCGGGAGAUCAAGGCAAAUUUCGCGAAGCAGGAAGACGAACGUCCAGGUCUUCUGAUGGCCGAAGUUUGUGAUCUCGUCCAAACAACGGUUGUGAAACCAAACCGGAAGGUACUGCUUCAUGAGGAAAAGGUAACACCAAAUGUUAUCCGGGAGCCAGAACGUGUCGUGGUAUCUAGACACGGGUGCUAG
rnacentral:rRNA from 1 species